UGAGGGAAUAUUGGGUCAAUGGGCGAGAGCCUGAACCAGCCAAGUCGCGUGAGGGAUGACGGUCCUACGGAUUGUAAACCUCUUUUGUCGGGGAACAACAGGGGGCACGCGUGCCUUUGUGAGUGUACCCGAAGAAAAGCAUCGGCUAAUUCCGUGCCAGCAGCCGCGGUAAUACGGAAGGUCCGGGCGUUAUCCGGAUUUAUUGGGUUUAAAGGGAGCGUAGGCCGGAGAUUAAGCGUGUUGUGAAAUGUAGUGGCUCAACCUCUGCACUGCAGCGCGAACUGGUCUUCUUGAGUACGCACAACGUGGGCGGAAUUCGUGGUGUAGCGGUGAAAUGCUUAGAUAUCACGAAGAACUCCGAUUGCGAAGGCAGCUCACGGAGCGCAACUGACGCUGAAGCUCGAAAGUGCGGGUAUCGAACAGGAUUAGAUACCCUGGUAGU
rnacentral:rRNA from 1 species